GACAUGAAGUUAGGUCAGCAAACCCSCUGAAUUUAAGCAUAUAAGUAAGCGGAGGAAAAGAAACUAAAUAGGAUUCCCUCAGUAAUGGCGAAUGAACAGGGAUGAGCUCAGCAUGGAAAUUGGGGCCUGUGGCCUUGAAUUGUAGUCUGGAGAUGUACCACCAACUGGGGCGCAGAUGUAAGCCUCUUGGAAAAGAGCAUCAAUGAGGGUGAGAGUCCCGCUUGGCAUCUGCAGUCCCCAGUGCACGGUGUACCUUCUAAGAGUCACGUUCCUCGGGAUUGGAGCGCAAAUCGGGUGGUAAGUUUCAUCUAAAGCUAAAUAUUGUUUCGAGACCGAUAGCAAACAAGUACCAUGAGGGAAAGGUGAAAAGGACUUUGAAAAGAGAGUUAAAAGUGCCUGAAAUUGCUGAAAGGGAAGCGAAUGGAAUCAGCGUAACUUGGUGAGAUUGCUGCGUGUCAAUGUGAUUGCUUGCUGCUUCAACGUAAGUGUGGUAGUAAGUCUUGAGCAGGACAUGCGCGGUGCUUCUUGCCUUGUGUGUCACCGUCAGUUCGCAGCUGGGGAAAACUUCAAAGACAUGGUAGCCUGUCUCCGGGCGGGUGAAUGUGUUUGCUGGAACUCAUGUGUGGAUUGCUUGGUGACUAAAUGGUUCCAUCUGACCCGUCUUGA
rnacentral:rRNA from 1 species